rnacentral:rRNA from 1 species
UACGGAGGGUGCAAACGUUGCUCGGAAUCAUUGGGCGUAAAGCGCACGUAGGCGGCCUGAUAAGUCGGGUGUGAAAGCCCCGGGCUCAACCCGGGAAGUGCAUUGGAAACUGGCGAACUUGAGUACGGGAGAGGGCAGUGGAAUUCCUAGUGUAGGAGUGAAAUCCGUAGAUAUUAGGAGGAACACCGGUGGCGAAGGCGGCUGCCUGGACCGAUACUGACGCUGAGACGCGAAAGCGUGGGGAGCAAACAGG